UACGAAGGGGGCUAGCGUUGCUCGGAAUUACUGGGCGUAAAGGGUGUGUAGGCGGAUACUUAAGUUAGAGGUGAAAGCCCAGGGCUCAACCCUGGAAUAGCCUUUAAUACUGGGUAUCUUGAGUUCGGGAGAGGUAAGCGGAACUCCGAGUGUAGAGGUGAAAUUCGUAGAUAUUCGGAAGAACACCAGUGGCGAAGGCGGCUUACUGGCCCGAUACUGACGCUGAGACACGAAAGCGUGGGGAGCGAAUGGG
rnacentral:rRNA from 1 species